UGGGGAAUAUUGGACAAUGGGCGCAAGCCUGAUCCAGCAAUGCCGCGUGUGUGAAGAAGGCCUUCGGGUUGUAAAGCACUUUUAUCAGGAACGAAAAGCGGAGGGUUAAUACCCACCCGUGCUGACGGUACCUGAGGAAUAAGCACCGGCUAACUCUGUGCCAGCAGCCGCGGUAAUACAGAGGGUGCAAGCGUUGUUCGGAUUUACUGGGCGUAAAGGGCGCGUAGGCGGCAAUUCAAGUCAUCUGUGAAAUCUCCGGGCUUAACUCGGAACGGUCAGAUGAUACUGCUUUGCUAGAGUGCAGAAGGGGCAAUCGGAAUUCUUGGUGUAGCGGUGAAAUGCGUAGAUAUCAAGAGGAACACCUGAGGUGAAGACGGGUUGCUGGGCUGACACUGACGCUGAGGCGCGAAAGCCAGGGGAGCAAACGGGAUUAGAUACCCUAGUAGUCCCUGAGCGGGCUGGCAAGGCGCAU
rnacentral:rRNA from 1 species